UGAAGCACAAACUUGCUAAGGCCACUCAUC
rnacentral:piRNA from 1 species